AGCCAGACCGCCGCUGGGGCAAGCUCGGAAACGAGGCCCUGGAGGAAGGUCCGGACUGCACAGAGCGGCGUAGCAGCUAACGGCUGCCCGGCGCAAGCCGAGGAUCAGAGCAACAGAGACGAGUCGACCAAACGUGCGGGGUUCGCCCCGCGGGACCGUGAGCGCAGCCCACGGGGUCGGGUGCAACGGGCAAUCUCUACGCGCAGCAACACCAAGUAGGCCAGCGUUGAUGCGGCUCGCAGA
rnacentral:ribozyme from 1 species